rnacentral:rRNA from 1 species
AGUGAACGCUGGCGGUAGGCCUAACACAUGCAAGUCGAACGGCAGCACAGUAAGAGCUUGCUCUUACGGGUGGCGAGUGGCGGACGGGUGAGGAAUACAUCGGAAUCUACUUUUUCGUGGGGGAUAACGUAGGGAAACUUACGCUAAUACCGCAUACGACCUACGGGUGAAAGCAGGGGAUCUUCGGACCUUGCGCGAUUGAAUGAGCCGCUGUCGGAUUAGCUAGUUGGCGGGGUAAAGGCCCACCAAGGCGACGAUCCGUAGCUGGUCUGAGAGGAUGAUCAGCCACACUGGAACUGAGACACGGUCCAGACUCCUACGGGAGGCAGCAGUGGGGAAUAUUGGACAAUGGGCGCAAGCCUGAUCCAGCCAUACCGCGUGGGUGAAGAAGGCCUUCGGGUUGUAAAGCCCUUUUGUUGGGAAAGAAAAGCAGCAGGUUAAUACCCCGCUGUUCUGACGGUACCCAAAGAAUAAGCACCGGCUAACUUCGUG